AGCCUGAAGCAGAAACCAUGGCAAAGUACUGCUUACUGGCUUGCUCACAGGCUUCUGCUCAGGGUUUUUGGCAUCUUUGUCAGAGUCAGAUGGCUGUUGGAUUUGCAUCUUUAUCCCAUUUUCCCCCUUCAGGAGUGGUGUGCAUCAAUUCAAGGACCUGGUCACCCGGUGCCUGUCUACAGGGAGCCAGAGCUCCAAUCUAGUAUAAUAGUAUCCAGUAAAAAAAAAAAUUUAAAAAAAUAUAUGUGUAUAUAUAUAUAUGUGUGUGUGUGUGUGUGUGUGUGUGUGUGUGUGUGUAUACAUAUCCUCCACUGAGACCCAGAAUAUGGCACACAAGUAAGUGUUGGCUCCUCCAGGGGAGGGUUGCAGAAAUCUGUUUCUACCCUCAGUUUCUAUUUCUGAGGUCACCCACUCCACAGAAGUCUUGCAAAUCAUCUAGCAGCGGAGGCAGCAGAAGCGUCAGUGUGGAUGGCCCUGCUAAGCCCUUGUUGAGCACCUUGUCUGAAAAACAGAUCAGCACCUUGAAGAAGGUGGCCGUGUUGGCUGGUCUUCUGUCAACUUGGCACAAACUAGAGCUAUCUAAAAGAGGAAACCUGAAAUGAGAAAGUGCCUUCAUGAGAUCCUGCUGUAAGGUGUGUUCUUAAUUAGUGAUCAAUGAGGGAAGGCCCAGCUCAUUGUGGGUGUUGCUGUCCCUGGACUGGUGAUCCUGGGGUCUGUAAGAAAGCAAGCUGAGCAAGCCCCGGGGAGUACGCCAGUAAGCAGCGCCUCUCUCUGGCCUCUGCAUCAGCUCCUGCUUCCAUGUUCCUGCUCUGACUUUGGUGGUGAAUGGAGACAUAGAAGUAUAAGCCAAAUUAACCCUUUUCUCCUCAGCUUGCUUUUUGGUCAUGGUGUUUCGUUGCAGCAAUAGAAACCUCAACUAAGACAGUGGUUUAUUAAGCUAGCAACCAUGGAGGGUUACAAGCUGCUCCUCCCUGACCAGAGAGGGCCUGAAACAGCUGGUGGAUCCCCUGUCAGUCCUAUGUUAUGUCUAUGAGGCUUUCUUGAGGACCCUUGCAGGUCAAUGACUCUUCAAGUCUUCACUCUGAGCCAGAAGCUGGCCUGGAUACCUUUCCUAUACUUCAGUCCAGUGCAAUGGCUCAGUGAGUGAAGCUAUCUUCAGCCAAGCACCUGACCCAUACCUGACUGCCGUUUCUUGAACCCACAUGGUAGAAGUAGAGAACCAACUCCCACAAAUUGUCCUGUCUUCCACAUCUGCCAUGCCAUGUGUUUCCCUGCCUCCAUUAAAAAAAAAAAUCAUUAAAUAAACUAGCCUCCUGGUAGUGGCACACACUCUUAUUCCCAGCACUCAAGAGGCAGAGGCAGGCAGAUCUCCCUGAGUGCGGGGACUCACAGUUUGCACCACCACCCCAGCAGCAUCCUCCAUCCCCGCCAGCAGUUAAUUUUUUCAUUGCAGAUGUCUUUCUCCUCCUUGGUUAUGUUUAUUCCUAGGGACCUUUUCUUUUCCUUUUUUACAUUUGGAGGGAGGUAUGUGUGGCAAUUUUAAAUAGAAUUGUUUUCUAACUUCUUUCUCACAAGUUUAUUAUUGGCAAAGAAGAAGAGGAAGAAGGAGAAGAAGGAGGAGAAGGAGGAGAAGGGGAAGAAGAAGAAGAGAAGGAGGAAGAGGAGGAAGAAGAGGAAGAGGAGGCGGCAGCAGCAGCUACAGAUUUUGGAGCUGGCCAGUUAGCACUGAGCCUGACAAUGGAUCUAAAAGGGGAGAACCUGUUCCUACAAGUUGUUCUCUGACCUCUUCAUGUGCAAUAUGACACUUCCACAUGUGUGUGCACGAACACAAACAAAUAACUUUAUGGGUUUUUUUUUGGGGGGG
rnacentral:lncRNA from 1 species